rnacentral:piRNA from 1 species
UAAUGGCCUGGGCCUAUGGUUUUCCC